rnacentral:rRNA from 1 species
GAGUUUGAUCAUGGCUCAGAUUGAACGCUGGCGGUAUGCUUAACACAUGCAAGUCGAACGGUAACAGGAGAGAGCUUGCUCUUUUGCUGACGAGUGGCGGACGGGUGAGUAAUGCGUAGGAAUCUGCCUAGUAGUGGGGGACAACGUGUGGAAACGCACGCUAAUACCGCAUACGCCCUACGGGGGAAAGCGGGGGAUCUUCGGACCUCGCGCUAUUAGAUGAGCCUACGUUAGAUUAGCUAGUUGGUGGGUAAAGGCCUACCAAGGCGACGAUCUAUAGCUGGUCUGAGAGGAUGAUCAGCCACACUGGGACUGAGACACGGCCCAGACUCCUACGGGAGGCAGCAGUGGGGAAUAUUGGACAAUGGGCGAAAGCCUGAUCCAGCAAUACCGCGUGUGUGAAGAAGGCCUGAGGGUUGUAAAGCACUUUCAAUUGUGAGAAAUAUUUAAGGUUAAUACUUAAAUUUGUACGUUAACUUUAGAAGAAGCACCGGCUAACUCCGUGCCAG